rnacentral:rRNA from 1 species
AACUUUCAACAACGGAUCUCUUGGUUCUCGCAUCGAUGAAGAACGCGGCGAAAUGCGAUAAGUAAUGUGAAUUGCAGAAUUCAGUGAAUCAUCGAAUCUUUGAACGCACAUUGCGCCCCUUGGUAUUCCGAGGGGCAUGCCUGUUCGAGCGUCAUCA